GCCUUGGUAGCUCAAUUGGCUAGAGCGUGGGACUUUUAUCCGAUCAAAUUGCGGAAUCCCAAGGUUGCGGGGUAAGUGCAUACACCUUCCUAGGUCA